UGGGGAAUAUUGCACAAUGGGCGAAAGCCUGAUGCAGCAACGCCGCGUGAGUGAUGACGGUCUUCGGAUUGUAAAGCUCUGUCUUUUGGGACGAUAAUGACGGUACCAAAGGAGGAAGCCACGGCUAACUACGUGCCAGCAGCCGCGGUAAUACGUAGGUGGCAAGCGUUGUCCGGAUUUACUGGGCGUAAAGGAUGUGUAGGCGGAUACUUAAGUGAGAUGUGAAAGCCCCGAGCUUAACUUGGGGACUGCAUUUCAAACUGGGUGUCUAGAGUGCAGGAGAGGAAAGCGGAAUUCCUAGUGUAGCGGUGAAACGCGUAGAGAUUAGGAAGAACAUCAGUGGCGAAGGCGGCUUUCUGGACUGUAACUGACGCUGAGGCAUGAAAGCGUGGGGAGCAAACAGGAUUAGAUACCCUGGUAGUCCACGCCGUAAACGAUGAGUACUAGGUGUAGGAGGUAUCGACUCCUUCUGUGCCGCAGUUAACACAAUAAGUACUCCGCCUGGGAAGUACGGUCGCAGGAUUA
rnacentral:rRNA from 1 species